rnacentral:lncRNA from 1 species
CGGCUCCUCACAAUAUACAACUUGUUCUGGAAGGCAGCAGUCUCACAAAAUAAACUCAUGGACGAGGAGAUUAUUGGACAUCCUCUAUACUCCAGUAAGAUAUUUGUCUUAGGUUUCUAUUCCUGCACAAACAUCAUGACCAAGAAGCAAAUUGGGGGAGGAAAGUGUCUAUUCAGCGUACAAUUCCAUACUGCUGUUCAUCACCAAGGAAGUCAGGACUGGAACUCAAGCAGGUCAGGAAGCAGGAGCUGAUGCAGAGGCCAUGAGGGAUCUUCCUUACUGGCUUGCCUCCCCUGGCUUGCUCAGCCUGCUCUCUUAUAGAACCCAAG